CGGCGCAGGGUGAGUAACACGUGAGUAAUCUGCCUUUUGGUUCGGGAUAACACUGCUAAAGCGGUGCUAAUACCGGAUAUUAUCACGAGACGGCAUCGUUUCGGGAUGAAAGGCUUCGGCCUCCAGAAGAUGAACUCGCGCCCCAUUAGUCUGUUGGUAGGGUAACGGCCUACCAAAACUACGAUGGGUAGCCGACCUGAGAGGGUGAUCGGCCACAUUGGGACUGAGAUACGGCCCAGACUCCUACGGGAGGCAGCAGUAGGGAAUUUUGCGCAAUGGGCGAAAGCCUGACGCAGCAACGCCGCGUGGAGGAUGACGUUUUUCGGAAUGUAAACUCCUGUUAAGAGGGAAGAAUUGCAGAUUGGUCUGCUUGACGGUACCUCUUGAGAAAGCCCCGGCUAACUUCGUGCCAGCAGCCGCGGUAAUACGAGGGGGGCAAGUGUUGUUCGGAUUUACUGGGUGUAAAGGGAGUGUAGGCGGUCUGAUAAGUCAGGGGUGAAAUGCCCAUGCUUAACGUGGGAAAUGCCUUUGAAACUGCCAGGCUUGAAUGUUGGAGAGGGUAACGGAAUUCCAGGUGUAGCGGUGGAAUGCGUAGAUAUCUGGAAGAACACCAGUUGCGAAAGCGGUUACCUGGCCAAACAUUGACGCUGAGGCUCGAAAGUCGGGGGAGCAAACAGGAUUAGAUACCCUGGUAGUCCCGACCCUAAACGAUGGACACUAGGUGCUGAGGGAGUUAACCCCCCCAGUGCCGAAGCUAACGCAUUAAGUGUCCCACCUGGGGAGUACGGUCGCAAGGCUGAAACUCAAGGAAUUGACGGGGGCCCGCACAGCGGUGGAGUAUAUGGUUCAAUUCG
rnacentral:rRNA from 1 species